rnacentral:rRNA from 1 species
GACGAACGCUGGCGGCGUGCCUAAUACAUGCAAGUUGAGCGCUGAAGGUUGGUACUUGUACCAACUGGAUGAGCAGCGAACGGGUGAGUAACGCGUGGGGAAUCUGCCUUUGAGCGGGGGACAACAUUUGGAAACGAAUGCUAAUACCGCAUAAAAACUUUAAACACAAGUUUUAAGUUUGAAAGAUGCAAUUGCAUCACUCAAAGAUGAUCCCGCGUUGUAUUAGCUAGUUGGUGAGGUAAACGCUCACCAAGGCGAUGAUACAUAGCCGACCUGAGAGGGUGAUCGGCCACAUUGGGACUGAGACACGGCCCAAACUCCUACGGGAGGCAGCAGUAGGGAAUCUUCGGCAAUGGACGAAAGUCUGACCGAGCAACGCCGCGUGAGUGAAGAAGGGUUUCGGAUCGUAAAACUCUGUUGGUAGAGAAGAACGUUGGUGAGAGUGGAAAGCUCAUCAAGUGACGGUAACUACCCAGAAAGGGACGGCUAACUACGUG